AAACUAACAAGGAUUCCCCUAGUAACGGCGAGUGAAGAGGGAAAAGCCCAAAUUUGUAAUCUGGCUCUUUCACGAGGGUCCGAGUUGUAAUUUUGAGAACUGUUAUCAGUGCUGGACCAUUUCUAAGUCUGUUGAAAAAUAGCAUCAUAGAGGGUGAUAAUCCCGUUUGUGAUAUGGACUACCAGGGCUUUACGAUACAGUUUCUAAGAGUCGAGUUGUUUGGGAAUGCAGCUCAAAGUGGGUGGUAAAUUCCAUCUAAGGCUAAAUACAGGUGAGAGACCGAUAGCAUACAAAUACGCGGAGGAAAAGAUGAAAAGAACUUUGGAAAGAGAGUUAACAGUACGUGAAAUUGUUGUAAGGGAAACGUUUAAACUUAUCGUUGUGUUUGUUAGUUCAGCCCUUUUACUAGGGUGUAUUCUGGCAAAAUCACGGACCAACAUCAGUUUUUGAGUGCUGGAUAAGGGCUUUGGGAAUGUAGCAGUUUCGGCUGUGUUAUAGCCCGGAGUUUGGAUACAGUGCUUGGGACUGAGAUAGAUUCGCAGCAAGCCACUAACCUGGCCGCCUGAUAUAUGGGCACCCAUGCUGAGGAG
rnacentral:rRNA from 1 species